rnacentral:lncRNA from 1 species
GAGCCCCACGGCAGGGGGUGAUGGAGCCCCGUGGGCAGGGCCUUUGCAAGAGGCAGGGACUGACUUGGGGGGGGGGUGUGGCCGCAGGCAAAUGGGCGGGCAGGCCAGGAGCAGGCCAGGAGGAGGCCAGCAGGCCAGGAGCCUGGGCAGAGAGCUAGUCAGGUUCGGGAGGCAGUCAGUCCCAAGGGCCUUCAACCGCGUGGGCACAGGGAAGCCUUUGGACACACGGGGCUCCCCAGGAAGCCGCCCCCUCUCCGGGCCUGGCUCUGAGCAAGCUGAGGAAUAGAAUGAACCUCAGGGGCUUCUGGAGUCUCUGCUGGGCCAGGGUGCCUGCCCUCGGGCUGAGCAGGUCUGUCGGGGAGAGCCAGGCCUUCCGGUUGAAACGGAGAGGAGGAGAACAUAGAGUUAGAGACGUUUCGAGAAGCAGCCCAGGGGACAAACAGGCCUGGAGGGCUGUUCUGGAAGUAAGGAGGCACCUUCACUGUGGCUGGGGAAAAGAUGCAGACUUCUCCAGGGCAAAAGCGCCCCUCCCCAGAGACAAGAGCGGCCAGCCCCCCGAGGAGAGCCAGUGGCCACAGGUGAGGAGCCUGAGCUCCCGUGGCAACGUCCUGCCCAGGAGGCCUGUCUCUCUGCCACGUUCUGGAUGACGCCCGAAGACAGACACACCGGGGACAGUCCGUUCAGAGGUCAACACUGCAAAUCUUAGACUGUAUCUAUGUUUUGAAGGAUGGGGUGGGCGGGGGGUGGGGGGAGGUGAAGCCAGGAAGAAAGAGACAAAAAUGUACAUUUUUGAGAAACUAAUUUUUUUUUUUAAGAAAGCACUCCUCAAUUAGUUCCCUAUACUUCUGCGCUAUGACACUUCUUUUAAACAAUAACACACAUUCUUGUUUUAAUUUUCAAAGUGUUAAAUAUUUCACAUGCUAGGAAUGUAGAGAGUGAUAGAAUCCAUGUAAUAACCAUCAUGUCAAGUUAACAAUCUUGGGUGACAUUUGCAGCACACAGAUUUCUCAGACACAAGGCAUGACUACCGGCAUGGGCCCCCAGCCUCUCUUCAGGCGCCCUGCGGGCUGCAGCCAAGGGGAGAGGCCCCAGGGCGACACUGCCACCCCCACCUGUAAACAGCAGGCAUAACGGGCAUAUUGCUGCUUUGUGUUCCUCCUUUUUGUCAACUGCAGCAGCAGCAGCAAGCUGUCAGGAUCCUUUUCUGAAAGUAUUAUUAUUUUCCCCAGCUCAACCUUUUACCCCCAGGCCUGGCUCCAGCGGGUGCAAGCAGCAUCCGGGGUGGUUCCCAUCAUCCCUGGGGAGCACUAUGCUCCAGGGGACGCGCCCCAGGCGGGGCGCUGCAGACAGGCCUCCUCCGACUGCCAUUUAGGACGCCCAGCCCUGAACUUCGCAGACAAUGCCGCAAGGGCCGUGCCAGGGCUCAGUGCCCCCGGCCUGGCAUUUUCUCCGCGGCGGACAAUGAGGCUGGGGGUCAGAGGGGCGGGCAGCUCCUGCUCUUUCAGAUGCGGCCAAAUGCCUCCCUGAUUCCUCUGCAGCAGUUUCCACUAGCACAGCAGGAAGAGAGUGCCCGGUCUCCGCACACCCUGGGCCUUGUUUGGGGUCAAACCGCGGCAUCUGAUACACGGUACGGUUUGCCCGCCAAGAACGAACGUGGGCCUCUGCGAACCUGCCGUUGUGGUUGUGCUCUGUGCGGAGAUUCCGCCUGCCUCCUUGGCCAUCUGCGGGUGGCUUCCCCUGCUGACCUUGGGAGCCCUUCCUGGUUGUGCAGGGCAGUCUUUGCCAUUUACGGGCGCUGCAAACCUUUCUCCCCAGGUCAAUGCCAGCAAGUUCUGUUCAGCUGAAGUUUUUUACUUUUAAUGCAAUCAAAUUUAUCAAACAGUCCUGUCUGCAUUUCCGCCAGUAUUAACAACAGAAACAACAAAACGGCCUUCCUUACCCGCGGCUCUCCCACCCAGCUGCGUCAGUGUGCGCCUGACCACGCGCGGCGGAACCGCGGUCUCGGCGAGCCCUUUGGGUGAGGAGUCAGCAGGCGGCUAUGAACGUGGCCCCGGACAAACGCCCUCUAUAGCCUCCCUCGUCUAAUGAAAGGAAUGGGCGAAACACAGUUACUUCUCCUCUACUGUUUUCUUGCGAGCGAAGAUCCCACCCGCUCUGGCCGGAUCCAAGCGACGCUCCGGGUCUCUGCAGCUCCUGGGCGCGCUCACACCCGCGUGCACGUGACGAGCUGCGCUCCGGCGUGGAAAACGGGGAAAGCAAAGCGAGUAAUGAGAGGCUGCGGCCAGUCUGGGCGUCG